AGAGUUUGAUCCUGGCUCAGGAUGAACGCUAGCUACAGGCUUAACACAUGCAAGUCGAGGGGAAACGACAUCGAAAGCUUGCUUUUGAUGGGCGUCGACCGGCGCACGGGUGAGUAACGCGUAUCCAACCUGCCCACCACUUGGGGAUAACCUUGCGAAAGUAAGACUAAUACCCAAUGACGUCUCUAGAAGACAUCUGAAGGAGAUUAAAGAUUUAUCGGUGAUGGAUGGGGAUGCGUCUGAUUAGCUUGUUGGCGGGUAACGGCCACGAAGGCGACGAUCAGUAGGGGUUCUGAGAGGAAGGUCCCCANAUUGGAACUGAGACACGGUCCAAACUCCUACGGGAGCCA
rnacentral:rRNA from 1 species